rnacentral:rRNA from 1 species
UUGGGAGCUCUCCCUAUGGUCGACCUGCAGGCGGCCGCGAAUUCACUAGUGAUUCGUAUUACCGCGGCUGCUGGCACGUAGUUAGCCGUGGCUUAUUCCUCAGGUACCGUCUUGUAUCUUCCCUGAGAAAAGAGGUUUACGACCCGAAGGCCUUCGUCCCUCACGCGGCGUUGCUGCUUCAGGCUUGCGCCCAUUGAGCAAAAUUCCCGACUGCUGCCUCCCGUAGGAGUCUGGGCCGUGUCUCAGUCCCAGUCUGGGUGAUCGUCCUCUCAGACCACCUACCGAUCGUCGCCUUGGUGAGCCAUUACCCCACCAACGAGCUAAUCGGACGCAGGCCCCUCCCGAAGCGCAUUGCUGCUUUGAUCGAUCGAAUGAACAAACGAUCACAUGCGGUAUUAGCCACCCUUUCGGGCAGUUAUUCCCCACUUCGGGGUAGGUCACCUACGCGUUACUCAGCCGUCCGCCACUAACUUUUCAGAGCAAGCCCUGAAAAGUCCGUUCGACUUGCAUGUCUAAUGCACGCCGCCAGCGUUUAUCCUGAGCCAGGAUCAAACUCUAAUCGAAUUCCCGCGGCCGCCAUGGCGGCCGGAAGCAUG